CCGCGACGAUGCGGUGGUUGCCGCUGUGGGCCUUGAGCGCCCGCACGGUGGCGACGACGACGGCGGCGUCCGGGGUCAUCCCCGACGCGCGGC
rnacentral:tRNA from 1 species